GGGUGAACUGCGGAGGGAUCAUUG
rnacentral:rRNA from 1 species